rnacentral:rRNA from 1 species
AUUAGAUACCCUAGUACACUUAAAUUUAAUUAAUAAAUACUAGAAUAUUAGAAGUUAUGUUCUUUAAAUUUAAAAAAUUUGGCGGUGUUUUAGUCUGGUUAGAGGAACCUGUUUUAUAAACGAUACAACACGCAUUAUCUUACUUGUUUUAGUAAUUUAGCUUGUAUACCGUCAUUAUAAGAUAAUUUAGGAGAAAAUAUUGUUAGAAUCAUAUUAUUGAGUAUAUUAGAUCAAGGUGCAGCUUAUAAGCAAGUAAAUAUGGGUUACAAUAAAAUUUAUUUAAUAUGAAUUAAGUAUUUAAAUGUAUUUAUGAAGGAGGAUUUGAUUGUAAGAAAAGAAAUAGUAAGAUUUUUUGAUAAAAGCUCUAAAUUAUGUACAUAUCGCCCGUCGCU